GACGAACGCUGGCGGCGUGCUUAACACAUGCAAGUCGAACGAGUGGCGAACGGGUGAGUAAUACGUGGGUAACCUGCCCUCCUUUUUGGGAUAAACCUUGGAAACGGGGUCUAAUACCGAAUACUAUCGGAUGAAGCCAGAUGGGAUUAGCCAGUAGGUGGGGUAAAGGUCACCUAGGCGCGAUCUCUAGCUGGUCUGAGAGGAUGAUCAGCCACACUGGGACUGAGACACGGCCCAGACUCCUACGGGAGGCAGCAGUGGGGAAUAUUGCACAAUGGGCGAAAGCAUGAUGCAGCGACGCCGCGUGAAGGAAGACGGUCUUCGGAUUGUAAACGUCUUUAGACAGGGACGCGGUACCUGUAGAAUAAGCCACGGCUAACUACGUGCCAGCAGCCGCGGUAAUAC
rnacentral:rRNA from 1 species